CUAGAUUGGCCCUGACAAAGUCGACGAUAUGUUUCGUAAAAACGGGAACAAUUUCGUUUCUUUUUGAACGAUUCCACAGACAGACGACAUGAUCAAAACAAGCCACGUUCACCUCCAAGAGCAAAGCCUUUAUUAUGCAUGCUUGCUCAGGGCAGAAACACAAGGGACAUGCCCACUAACGGCUUGGCCUCCCAAACAAAACCACUUACUGGAUGUGAAUGAUGACUUUUGGACCUGUUUGUCAUGGGUGACUCUACAAUUGGCAUGAAGACCCAGACAACCUAGCUCCUAGGAUCAGUGGGACACACAAACCCCUCCACCACGAUAAGGAACCGGCUUCCAGGAAGUCUGAACAGAUCAUAAGGCAGAAGGAAACACCGAGCGACAGAGCCAGUGAUGGAGCGCUGGCAGAGCCAGCACUGACAGGGCUUAGAUGACAGACGCAAGCUGACAGACGCUGACAUCGCCCUGUCGCCUCGGGGAGACACGCAGCCCUGAGUGAAA